rnacentral:rRNA from 1 species
GUUCUGUGUCUUAAUGCCAUAAACGUACCAGAUCCCAUUGGAUUUUGGAAACUAAUCAGGGUCAGCCUUGGUUAGUACUUGGAUGUGGGGACUUCUGAGUAUUCCUUGGCUAAGAAAACC